rnacentral:lncRNA from 1 species
UAAUUUAGAUGAUUUGAUUAAAUCAUUUUAAGAGAAUUGAAAAAACUGACCAGCUAAUCAUAAUCCUUCCACUAACUUCAUCAAGUUAGAUCAUAGAAGACUAAAUACAAGACACCAGGGGCACCUAAAUCAGUCAUACUGAUUCACCUAUGUGAUAUAGGUUAGCUCGAGUCAAUGAGUAGCCUAAUUGAACAUAGAUUAAUCACAUUGGCUAUGUAAGUG